GAGACCCACGCCCACAGUUGCCAGCGUACUCUCCGGAGUGACGGGUACACUGUGGGGACCGCCGCUGCUAAAGCGGAGGAAGGAAUGGGCAACGGUAGGUCAGUAUGCCCCGAAUAUCCCGGGCUACACGCGAGCUACAAUGGUUGGUACAAUGGGUAUCUACCCCGAAAGGGGACGGAAAUCUCCUAACGCCAAUCUUAGUUCGGAUCGAGGGCUGCAACUCGCCCUCGCGAAGCUGGAAUCCGUAGUAAUCGCACAUCAACAGUGUGCGGUGAAUAC
rnacentral:rRNA from 1 species